rnacentral:lncRNA from 1 species
UUGUUGCAGGGCCCUGAGAUUUCAGGCUUUUUGUGCCUUUUUAUGUCUGACAUAUAUAAGAAUAUCCACAGAGCACUGGUGUGGGAGCAGUGUCCAAGGCAUCCCACAUCAUGCAUGAUCUUGAGGCAGUCCUGCUCUGUUCUCCAUCCAAAAUGAUGUGUGCCACAAGGAAAAAUUCUUAACAGAGUGGAGCAAAAUAAUUGUGAAUUACUGUCUCUUGUGUGUUUGCAGAUCUCAAAGAACAGCUUCUGGUCAUCAAAGGUGAAUGAGCAAAGUUCCUGGCACUCUUGUGACAAACAAAUCCUAACAAGGUAUUUCCAAGCCUGGAGGAGACAUACCCUUUGGAAGAGGGCAGCCACGCAGCUUUACAGACACCAGCUGCUUCAGAAGGGCUUUGGUGCUCUGCAGUGGACUGUGCACCCAAGGAGGACACAACUGGAGGUGGCCCAGCAGAAACAUGCUUCAACUCUGCUAGCUGCCAGCUUCCAGAGGGUGAGCAC